CCCUGACAAAACCAAUACAAACAUAGGGAGAAAAUACAAAGAAACAUUUUAUUUUGUCCAGGUCUUGAUUAGUCCAAGUGAGUGUUGGGAAGGGUCUUUAUUAGUCCAGGUUAGUGUUGGGAAGGGUCUUGAUUAGUCCAGGUGAAUGUUGGAAAGGGUCUUGAUUAGUCCAGGUGAGUGUUGGGAAGAGUCUUGAUUAGUCCAGGUGAGCAUUGGGAAGGGUCUUGAUUAGUCCAGGUGAGUGUUAGGAAGGGUCUUGAUUAGUCCAGGUGAGUGUUGGGAAGGGUCUUGAUUAGUCCAGGUGAGUGUUGGGAAGGGUCUUGAUUAGUCCAGGUGAGUGUUGGGAAGGGUCUUGAUUAGUCCAGGUUAGUGUUGGGGAAGGGUCUUGACUAGUCCAAGUUAGUGUUGGGGAAGGGUCUUGAUUAGUCCAGGUGAAUGUUGGGAAGGAUCUCGAUUAGUCUCUAUGAGUGUUGGGAAAAGUCUCGAUUUGUCCAGAUGAGUGUUGGGAAGGGUCUUGAUUAGUCCAAGUGAGUGUUGGUAAGAGUCUUGUUUAGUCCAGGUGAGUGUUGGGAAGGGUCUUGAUUAGUCCAAGUGAGUGAUGGGAAGGGUCUUGAUUAGUCCAG
ensembl:lncRNA